rnacentral:rRNA from 1 species
GUCUACGGCCAUACCACCCUGAACGCGCCCGAUCUCGUCUGAUCUCGGAAGCUAAGCAGGGUCGGGCCUGGUUAGUACUUGGAUGGGAGAAAACCUGCAAUGGUACAUC